GACGAACGCUGGCGGCGUGCUUAACACAUGCAAGUCGAACGGAAAGGCCCUGCUUUUGUGGGGUGCUCGAGUGGCGAACGGGUGAGUAACACGUGAGUAACCUGCCCUUGACUUUGGGAUAACUUCAGGAAAAUGGGGCUAAUACCGGAUAGGAGCUCCUGCUGCAUGGUGGGGGUUGGAAAGUUUCGGCGGUUGGGGAUGGACGCGCGGCUUAUCAGCUUGUUGGUGGGGUAGUGGCUUACCAAGGCUUUGACGGGUAGCCGGCCUGAGAGGGUGACCGGCCACAUUGGGACUGAGAUACGGCCCAGACUCCUACGGGAGGCAGCAGUGGGGAAUAUUGCACAAUGGGCGGAAGCCUGAUGCAGCAACGCCGCGUGCGGGAUGACGGCCUUCGGGUUGUAAACCGCUUUCGCCUGUGACGAAGCGUGAGUGACGGUAAUGGGUAAAGAAGCACCGGCUAACUACGUG
rnacentral:rRNA from 1 species